GGGGAUAUGGCGAAAUGGUAGACGCAGCGGACUCAAAAUCCGUUGGUUUCACAGGACCGUGAGGGUUCGAGUCCCUCUAUCCCCA
rnacentral:tRNA from 1 species